rnacentral:hammerhead_ribozyme from 1 species
AUCCAGCUGAGGAGUUCCAAAUGGGACAAAACUUACGUCUUGGAU